rnacentral:siRNA from 1 species
GAAGUCGUCACUAAGGUCUAGCC